rnacentral:rRNA from 1 species
GACGAACCGUGCGAACGUUAUUCGGAAUCACUGGGCUUAAAGCGCGUGUAGGCGGGACGGCACGUCGGUCGCUGAAAUCCCCCGGCUUAACCGGGGAACUGGCGUCGAUACGACCGCCCUGGAGGGCGUAGGGGGACCUGGAACUUCCGGUGGAGCGGUGAAAUGCGUUGAGAUCGGAAGGAACGCCCGUGGCGAAAGCGAGGUCCUGGACGCCUACUGACGCUGAGACGCGAAAAGCCAGGGGGAGCGAACGGG